GGUAGUAGCAAAUAGUCGAGACUUUGAAGUACUGAAGUGGAGAAGGGUUUCGUAUGAACAGUGGUUGAUCACGAGUUAGUCGGUCCUAAGUUCAAGGCGAAAGCUGAAAAUUUUCAAGUUAUAUAUUAAAACAGAAUAUAUAAAAUAAUGUGUAAAACACUUGAAAAUAAUUGAACGAACGGGAAUACGGUACCAAUUUCGUACCCUGUUGAGUAUCCGUUUGUUUAUUAAAUGUGGGCCUUGUACUCAUCCUGGCAACAGAAACAACCAUAAAGAAGCCGUCGAGAAUUAUCGGCAGAGUUUUCUUUUCUAUUUUAUAGUCGUAUUACCAUGGUAAUUGGUUGAAUCUUUGUGGAGAAAGAGUUCUAAUCACGUCAAAUUUUAUACCGUCGCAUCCUAAUAAUGCCGACUUUUCUUGUUGAAAUCAUUUGAAAGUUCAUUAAACGAAAUUCUCUAACCGGCGUAUCGAUUGAAAGGAAAGAAGUUGUUAUGGUA
rnacentral:ncRNA from 1 species